rnacentral:tRNA from 1 species
AUUUCUAAAGUGUACAUACACAUUUAACUUCGAAUUAAAAAAUCCAUUUAAGUAGAACAUA